CCUAUGGUUGAAACCAUAGGCUUCAUUACUAUACGCUUUCAGCGUU
rfam:Lentisphaerae bacterium GWF2_49_21 gwf2_scaffold_184, whole genome shotgun sequence.